AUGAGCAAGGCGGGCAAGGCCACCACCACCACCACCCUCCCGCAGGCUCCAGCGGAGGCAGCCACUGCGGUCCCCCAGGGCCCAGCGCCCAAGAGCCCGGUGGGCAGCGGCUCGUCCCAGGCCGCAGGCCCGGCGCCCGCCGCCCUUGUCACAGGAAUCUCCAGUGGGGACGCGGCCCCGCAGCCACGGGCACCACGCCCCCCACCUCUUCAGCCCCCUCCGGCAGUGAAGACGUGGAGAAAAAAGUUCUCGCCACCAAAGUCCUUGGCACUGUCAAAUGGUUCAACGUCAAAAAUGGAUAUGGAUUUAUAAAUCGAAAUGACACCAAAGAAGAUGUAUUUGUACAUCAGACUUGCCAUCAAGAAGAAUAACCCACGGAAAUAUCUGCGCAGUGUAGGAGAUGGAGAAACUGUAGAGUUUGAUGUGGUUGAAAGAGAGAAGGGUGCAGAAGUGGCCAAUGUGACUGGACCAGAUGGAGUUCCGGUAGAAGGGAGCCUUUAUGCUGCUGAUCCGCGCGGUUACUUAUGGCACACGCCGUGGACCUCCCGGUAAUGCUGGUGAGAUUGGAGAGAUGAAGGAGGGAGUCCCAGAGGCGGCACAACUUCAGGGACUGGUUCAUCGAAAUCCAGCUUACCACCCAAGGUACCGGAGAGGCCCUCCUCGCCCCAGACCUGCCCCAGCUGUUGGCGAGGCUGAAGAUAAAGAGAACCAAUAAGUGGCCAAUGGUCCAAACCAGCCAUCUGCUCGCCGUGGAUACCGGCGCCCCUACAACUAUCAGCGUCGCCCCCAUCCUCCUAAUGCUCCUUCACAAGAUGGCAAAGAGACCAAGGCAGGUGAAGUGCCAUCUGAGAACCCUGCUCCAGCCACCGAGCAGAGCAGUGCUGAGUAA